rnacentral:rRNA from 1 species
UACGUAGGGGGCAAGCGUUGUCCGGAAUCAUUGGGCGUAAAGAGCGUGUAGGCGGCUCGAUAAGUCCGCUGUGAAAGUCCAGGGCUCAACCCUGGAAGGCCGGUGGAAACUGUCGGGCUAGAGUCCGGAAGAGGCGAGUGGAAUUCCCGGUGUAGCGGUGAAAUGCGCAGAUAUCGGGAGGAACACCAGUGGCGAAGGCGGCCAUCUGGAUCAACACUGACGCUGAGGCACGAAAGCGUGGGGAGCAAACAGG